UUAAAGUAGUCCUGCCUGCAUAUUGUU
rnacentral:piRNA from 1 species